GNNUUCCCUUAGUAACUGCGAGUGAAGAGGGAAGAGCUCAAAUUUAAAAUCUGGCAGUCCNAUCGGAUGCCCGAGUUGUAAGUUAGAGAAGUGCUAUCCGUGCCGGCCUGUGCAAAAGUCCCUUGGAAAAGGGCAUCAUAGAGGGUGACAAUCCCGUCUUUGGCACAGACUACCGGGGCUUUUGUGAUGCGCUCUCGAUGAGUCGAGUUGUUUGGGAAUGCAGCUCCAAAUGGGUGGUAAAUUCCAUCUAAAGCUAAAUAUUGGCGAGAAACCGAUAGCGCACAAGUACCGUGAGGGAAAGAUGAAAAGAACUUUGAAAAGAGAGUCAAACAGUACGUGAAAUUGUUGAAAGGGAAACGCUUGAAGUCAGUCGUGUCCUUUGGAAAUCAACCUCAUCUUUGGUGGGAUGCACUUUCCAUUUGGACAGGUCAGCAUCAAUUUUGACCAUCAGAGAAAGACCUUGGGAAAGUGACAUCUCUUAUGAUGUGUUAUAGACCUAGGCUCAGAUGUGUUGGUUGGGAUUGAGGAACUCGGAUGG
rnacentral:rRNA from 1 species